GUGCUCGUUUCCACAGCACAUAUUCUAAAAACUGGGACAAUAGAGAAGGUUAGCACGGCCCCUGCACAAGAGUGGCACACAAAUUCAUGAAGUGUUCCAUACUUUA